rnacentral:rRNA from 1 species
AGGAUGAACGCUGGCGGUCUGCUUAACACAUGCAAGUCGAACGGAGUAGAAAUACUUAGUGGCGGACGGGUGAGUAACGCGUGAGAAUCUACCUUCAGGACGGAGACAACAGUUGGAAACGACUGCCAACCCCCGAUGUACUGAAAAGGCAAAUAUUUAUAGCCUGAAGAAGAGCUCGCGUCCGAUUAGCUAGUUGGAGAGGUAAAAGCUCACCAAGGCGACGAUCGGUAGCUGGUCUGAGAGGACGAUCAGCCACACUGGGACUGAGACACGGCCCAGACUCCUACGGGAGGCAGCAGUGGGGAAUUUUCCGCAAUGGGCGAAAGCCUGACGGAGCAAGACCGCGUGGGGGAAGAAGGCUCUUGGGUUGUAGACCCCCUUUUUCUCUGGGAAGAACGCAAUGACGGUACCAGAGGAAUCAGCAUCGGCUAACUCCGUGCCAGCAGCCGC